GUAGUCAUAAGAAAUGAAAGAAGAUGAUCAAGAUGUCAGGUUUGAAGAAAUCUAUCAGUUUUUAUGAAUUUAGCAUUUUAUUAAUAUGAUUCUGGUGUGAUAUGCGUAUUUAAACAACAGAAAUCAAAAUUAUCGGAACAUAGGUGGUCUAAUGUAGCAGUAAAUUGCAAUAGUAGUGGUACAUUCUGAUGCUUCUACUCAUUAGGAUUGUACCGAUCAGAAUGGCACAUUUUCCUACCAAAAUUACUCAUCUUCAUCCAUAAAUAUAAUGAUUGUUUGAGAACAGGACAUGCCAUGCAAUAACCAAAGCCUAUUGUAUGGUUUGUUAGAUAAGCAGAUGUUUAUGUGAUAACGUAAAAUAGCAUGGCAUAAUGUUUAUUAGGCAGGCUAAAUUGUUACGAACCAUACUUUUUCGAUAUGGUUUGAGCACUAAGUUUAGUGUUUACCUUUCAAGUGGGGCUCUU
rnacentral:lncRNA from 1 species